CAGUCGCCGCGGUAAUACGAAGGGUGCAAGCGUUAAUCGGAAUUACUGGGCGUAAAGGGUGCGUAGGCGGUUGUUCAAGUCUGUUGUGAAAUCCCCGGGCUCAACCUGGGAAUGGCAGUGGAUACUGGCUCGCUAGAGUGUGUCAGAGGAUGGUGGAAUUCCCGGUGUAGCGGUGAAAUGCGUAGAGAUCGGGAGGAACAUCAGUGGCGAAGGCGGCCAUCUGGGACAACACUGACGCUGAGGCACGAAAGCGUGGGGAGCAAACAGGAUUAGAUACCCGUGUAGUCCCUGUCUCUUAUAC
rnacentral:rRNA from 1 species